GCAAGUCGAACGGUAACAUGAGUGCUUGCACUUGAUGACGACCGGCGCACGGGUGAGUAACGCGUACACAAUCUACCUUUAAGAGGAGGAUAGCCCUGGGAAACUGGGAGUAAUACUCCAUAGUAUUAUUAAUUCGAUAAAUAAAUAAUUAAAGCUUCGGCGCUUAAAGAUGAGUGUGCGUCCCAUUAGCUAGUUGGUACGGUAACGGCGUACCAAGGCGACGAUGGGUAGGGGGCGUGAGAGCGUGAUC
rnacentral:rRNA from 1 species